CAAGGUCAGGGCCACCUCGCGGUUCCGGAAGGAUCCCCCGGAGCCCCCAGAGCGAGGUGGACCGACACUGCCCUUCCUUCCUCCUCUGCAUCCUCAGCCUCACGUCCACGGACCUCACAUCGCCCGCUCCGUCGCUGGACCUCACAUUGUCCGCUCCGUGCCCGGACAUGGCGUCCACCAUCACCCUCCUCCCGGAGAGCAUCUCAUCCGCUCUGUGCCCGGACAAGGCGUCCACCAUCACCCUCCUCUCGGAGAGCAUCUUGUCUGCUCCAUACCCGGACAAGGCGUCCACCAUCCCCCUCCUUUCGGAGAGCAUCUUGUCUGCUCCCUGCCCGGACAAGGCGUCCACCAUCGCCCUCCUCUCGGAGAGCAUCUUGUCUGCUCAAUACCCGGACAAGGCGUCCACCAUCCCCCUCCUCCCGGAGAGCAUCUCAUCCGCUCUGUGCCCGGACAAUGCGUCCACCAUCACCCUCCUCCCGGAGAGCAUCUCAUCAGCUCUGUGCCCGGACAAGGCGUCCACCAUCGCCCUCCUCCCGGAGAUCAUCUCGUCCGCUCCGUGCCCGGACAAGGCGUCCACCAUCACCACUCUCCCGGAGAGCAUCUCGUCCGCUCCGUGCCCGGACAAGGCGUCCACCAUCACCCUCCUCCCGGAGAGCAUUUUGUCACUGCAGGAAUUAGCUUCCAGCCAGAAGCCACGGUUCCCGGGCAGCGUGAGGCGCAGGGAGUUCCUGCCGCCGUCCAUCCGCGAGAGCCUGAGCUCCCUCAGUACCAUCACCUCGGAGGGCUCUGCAUCACUGAAGGAUGAAGGCGAUCAGGUGCAGAUAAUACGGCAGCCUGAGAAAGAAGACGUUGACCACACCGAAGGCUCGGUUUCAGGAGCCCAGGGGCCCGCGCUGGCCCAGCCACCCGAGCGGGGGCUCUUCGCCGCCGUCCCGCCUGUGGAGGACCCCCUAGAAUCCCUCCCGCUCCAGGGCGCGCUGCAGGUCGGAGGCCAGGACGUGUGGUCCAUGAGGGCCCAGCGUGUGCGCCCAGCUCCCACGGACUCCUGGAUGCUGGAGUCCACGGUCCUCACCAUCCCCGGGCAGGUGGAGCUCGACCCGGCCGAGGAGCUGCCCCGCCGGCUCCAGCGCGACAGCCUCGGGCCGCAGCCUGCGCACCGGGUGGCUCCGGGGGCCGUGCCGCUGUCCAGCUGGGGGGCCGAGGGCCUGCCUGCCUUCAAGGGCAGGUACAGGGUGAAGGUGACCCCCAUAGCAAGUGUGGGGCACAGCCAGUCUGCUGAAGAGACCCCCCAAUCUGACACCACCGAGGCCACCGUGAUCAUGAUGCCUGAGGGCUCGGAGCUCCCAGACGGGGCUCCCAAGUCCACUUAGAGCCAGGAAACCGCCCCCCCCGCCAGGACGCCCCUCCCGGUGGGGGGUGCCCGCAGCUCCGUGGCGGGGAUGCUGGGCAGUUGAGGUCCAGCUGCGCCGCCGUGCUCCUAGUGAAAGCAUCGGAGAGGAGAGGGGCCAGGGUCCUCGGCCGCCUCUGGCCGCCGGGAAAGACUUUCAAGGACCCGCAUGUCACUUGUCUCAGAAGCCGUAUUUUAAAGACUUUCCAAGUUUUCUGAACACAUCUGUUAUUCUGGGAAGAAAAAAACAAAUUCGAAAUGGACUGCAGAGAGUGGGUUCACAUCUGUGCAUCUGUUGAUUAUUAAAGCAGACUGUAUGAAUUUAAGGAACUUUUAAGAAAACUCUUCAGAAUUCACUAGCAGGCUUUAUGGGAAAUAAUAAAAAUUAUUCAUGGCAAUAAACC
rnacentral:lncRNA from 1 species